GACGAACCGUGCGAACGUUAUUCGGAAUCACUGGGCUUAAAGCGCGUGUAGGCGGGCCGCCACGUCGGCUGCUGAAAUCCCCCGGCUCAACCGGGGAACGGGCACCGAUACGAGCGGCCUCGAGGGGGGUAGGGGGACCUGGAACUUCCGGUGGAGCGGUGAAAUGCGUUGAGAUCGGAAGGAACGCCCGUGGCGAAAGCGGCUCACUGGACCGGUACUGACGCUGAUGCGCGAAAGCGUGGGGAGCAAACGGG
rnacentral:rRNA from 1 species